AUUGAACGCUGGCGGCAGGCCUAACACAUGCAAGUCGAACGAGUGGCGGACGGGUGCGUAAUGUCUGGGAAACUGCCCGAUGGCGGGGGAUAACUACUGGAAACGGUAGCUAAUACCGCAUACCAUCGGAUUUGCCCAGAUGGGAUUAGCUAGUGGGUGGGGAAACGGCGCACCAAGGCGACGAUCCCUAGCUGGUCUGAGAGGAUGACCAGCCACACUGGAACUGAGACACGGUCCAGACUCCUACGGGAGGCAGCAGUGGGGAAUAUUGCACAAUGGGCGAAAGCCUGAUGCAGCAAUGCCGCGUGUAUGAAGAAGGUUUUCGGGUUGUAAAGUACUUUCAUCGAGGAGGCGUUACUCGCAGAGGAAGCAACGGCUAACUCCGUGCCAGCAGCCGCGGUAAUAC
rnacentral:rRNA from 1 species